CUAAUAAUUUCAGAAUUUCUGAAGACAGUAACAGACUUGGAGAAAAGGUGACCUCCAAGUUAACGCUGACCUCUUUAGGGUCAGGCGGCAGGGCAUUUAAGUGGGCUGACAGCGUGCUGGUACAGGCAUUACAGGCCGGUCACUGGCUACUUAUCGACAAUGUCAACUUCUGCAGUGCCUUCGUCCUAGAUAGACUGAAUGCCCUGUUGGAGCCCCACGGCGUCCUUAACAUCAACGAAAGAGGUGUAAUCGAUGGUGUCAUCCCAACCAUAACACCACAUCCUAACUUCAGGAGGAUGGGUCACUAUACAGCUCUCAUGAUGUCAAGGUCAUGUUACAAGGUCAAGGUCUCAGAUGAUGGAGCCUGUGAUUGGCUGAUGUCUCUACAUACUGACAUGAGAGAGAAUAUCUCACUUGGGGAACGGCCUGUCAUACUCGAUCUAAUCCGUGCUGCCAUGGUGAGGCAACAGCAGACAGAUAGAGGCAUUUUUAUUGGUCAAGGCAUUGAUACAUGCAUCGUGUGAUGGGUAUGUCAAGAAUAUCAGAAGUUUUGUGACGAGAAAGGUAGGUGUAUGUACACUGUGCUGAUUUCAUGUAUUGAUUUACUGAAGAAACCUUUGUAUAAAGCUAUUUACUUACUGCUAUAUCUAACAGACAAGUUCUCCAGCUCUGUCAAAAUUUAGACACUUUUGUGUAUUUCCUCCUUGUAGAGUUGUACAACCUUAGAGAACACCAAGAUGUACAGACAAUUUCUAUUAUGAAAUGUGAGUGAAGCAAAAACAUAUUAUCUUAUAAGUCCUUUACCAGUGAAACAAGGUAGGACUAUAGUUUUCCUCUCCGUCCGUCUUGUAUGAAGGUAGGUAAUGCCAAAGUUAGUCAGCACUCUAGAGGCUUCAUUCCUUGAGCGAUUUUGAUCAAACUUCACACAAUGAUAAAGGACCAUAAUAUUUUAUUAUAUAAUAUUUUGGACAAGAUUCUGUUUUAGGGUGACUGUUACUAUUUUUAGUGAGGGGGGUUAGGGGACAUGUAUUAAUGCUUUGGCAAUACCCGGUAUGCUUGUUUAUCCACUCGUCCACUGAAAGGUGGAAAGGCCGUAAUAGUGGACAGUAAACUGGUUAAUGAUAAUAAUGAUAAAUUGUUUAUCUUGUUAUACCCUUAAUCAAUAGUCAUUAUAUAAAUGUAUUGAGUAAAAAUGCCAAAGUUUAACUGUUGUGGUCGCUGGUUCAAACAAACUGUUAAAAUUAACUGUUAAAAUUGACUGUUGACCGCUAACCUUUCCGGAAGUACCCGAAUGCGUCCGAGUGAUUACGAUUUCCUGUAAACAUUAGAGUUACUUUCCCUUGUCGUUUGCACAACCUGAAAUGGCUAUGAGUGGUGCAGACGGUUUAUGUAGGUUUGCCCUGGCAUCUAAACACGAAAUACAGCAAAUUUUGGAUGACCAUGACAGCAAAAAUACGAAAAAUGUGGUGAAAACAGCGGAAAACAUCUUGACUGACUUUCUGUUGACAUGCGAUCUCUCUCUUACGCUGAUCAAAGAUUAUUCAACUGAGGAUUUGAACGAUUUGCUGAGAAAGUUCUACUGUGCCGUUCGUACAUGUUAAAGGAUUUGCCCUGGGUAGACGGGACCACACUGAGCUUUGUGACAUAUAUGUACUGUUGCCCCAGAAGGAAGAACUGCUGAAAGCUAUUGCCUCCCUUCAGCUAACAAAUUACGUAGAUGUUAUCAAGGUACUCUGACCCCAACCUUGACUGUUGUGAGUACUCUGACCUUGACUGGUGUAGGUACUAGAUGCAGUGAAGUGGAGGUAUAGACUCUUGGAUGCAUGUGAAGGUUCUAUCACAGGAGAAGAAAUGGAGUACCACUACAUGGCCUUACACUGGCACAUGUUCUACAAGAGGACGUGGCUCCUACUGAAAGACCGAUGAGUACCACAUGAAGGUAAAACAGAUUCAAGAGACUCUGAAAAAACUUGGCUUGGAUAAAAAGACUGAGGAUGAUUUGACUACUGACAUUAUCCAAUCACAGCCAGAGAGUAUUGACAUAGCUACCAGGUCACCAUGGCAACAUGUGUGUUUGUGGCCUCUUUUUGAGUAUGUUUCCCUCUUUGCUGCGGCAGCAUCAGUCCUGCAUCUCUACUCUUGCAACAUUCCUGAUGGAUGCCAGAGCUAAACUGACUUCUGUUUGACCUUCACCCCAAUGUCUCCAGAACAGGUCACUCAGUACCAGAACCUCGGACAAACUAACAAACAGCAGAGUUGGAUGAUUCUGCAAAAACAACUAUUCAGUACAGCUGUGAAACUUAUUGGCUUCAAUAGAGUGAAGAAGAAGAGGAAGAGCAAAACACAGCCAUGUAUCACCGUAACGACAGUGUCUAUGGUCUGUAUGCAUUCCAUAUGGCCACGCCAACCUAUGCUAUGUUUACAUUUCUGUGUGGGGGUAGCCAGGACAAGAGGCCCAUGGGGUCCAGCCCAUCUGACCUCCAGUGUCUACAGGUGUAUUUAGGACAGUGUCAGGCCCAGGCUCAGAGACUCUCUCUUGUUGCUAGGCAUCUCUGGUCACAUGCCUCCUUGUUGUCAUGCCAACAGCUCUCUCCAAGAUUUUUGGAAAAAUGGCAUUUAUGGGAGGUUUUUGUCUUCUUCCUGAAAUCUGCCACCACAAUUGUCUCCCCAAGUCUGAGAUCUACCUAGUACAAUUCAAUGAAAUCCAAGCCAUGAUGACAGAGGUCAGAGGUCAGGCUGCCAAAUAUGAGGUUGACAUUGAUGAGAUGCUGAAAAAACAGACUUGAUCUGUGCCAAAUUUGUCUGAGUGAGAGUUUACCAGACUUGGUGUGUCAGAUAGAGAGGUGUUUCUGUAGUGUGUUGAAGGCAUUUACGGCUGACUCGGCCAGUGUGGACCAUGUAGCGAAAAUAGCAAUAAAACUCAAAUACGCCAGACAAGAGUUAAUGGACACACAGGCCGAGCUGAGUGUGUAUAAUCAGCAUCAUCUUUUGACCACUGGUCAGCCACUCUCCAGUCUGCCUGACCACUUGUUACAUCCUCCCAUACCUCACUUGGUUGCCAUGACAAAAUAUCUCCAGGUAAAGGUCUUCCUACUGGAACUACAGCAGGCCUACAGACCAAAACCCUCCAAGUUUAAAUUUCUUGUAAGCAAUGUCAAGGACUAUUUAUCAAGUGUCGGCAGUGAGGAUCACAUUCUCCAACUUCUUGACAGACUUACAUCAGUUGCCAUGACAACGGGUAACAAGUUUGUCGAGGAAAGGAUGUGGCAGAGUUCCUUUCUCGACAAUCUCGAUACUCUGUAUCCAGAGUAUCGUUACUUAAUGACCCCAUUAAAUCUCGCCAUGCAGGUCAGACAUGGCCUCCAUCUAGUGGCAGGAUGUGCUCAGCAGCGACAAAUUAGGUGAUUGGUCAACAGUCUCUGGAGAAACUGGAAGAGAAAUUGCUGAUGAUGUCCAAGUUCCCAACAGUAUAUGAAGCUUUUCCUAGUAAUCUUGAUCUAGUGAAGUCUUUAAUCUCUGACCUUACAUCAAGCCUCCUUCUGACUGUGAUCAAGCGAGAGGAUACACAGGAUAAUAAAUACCAGCAGCAGAAACAGCUUAUUUCAAGGUUACUACAUGCCAGCCUUGACCUUGUGAAUGAAGUCAGACAGUUUGGUAAGGAGAGAGGUGACCUCAGACAUGACCUUCACCUUGUCCAUGUUAUUCCAUCAAUUUGUAACAACAUGGCAGAGGCAAGAGAAGGGAAAGAGAGAGCGAGAGAAGGAGGAAGAAAGUCUUUAUCGGUAUAAGUCCAAAGUCCCCGGAGAUGACAGACACAUUGAUGUGAUUGAGGAAAAGGAAUUCAGGAGCAGCUUCCCAACUUUUGUUAAUGAAUUCAUGAACAUCACCGGUACUGACACGCUGGACGAAUCUGUCGAGAUGGAGACACAGGACAAGAUGGGAGGAGGUGAUAAGGAGGAGACAACUCCAGACAUGAUCACGGAGGAGGAGAUGUUCCAUGUGUACAAGACCCAUCGUCAGGUGUUCACCUGCCUUUGUCGGGCUAGAUGGUUACCACGGUUACCAGCGCCUCAGGUGGACACUGCUGACCUGGUAGCGCCCUCCCUACUAUGUCGGGAGUGUGAUAGCAAUUUUAUUAAUGAUGUCCUGUUUAACAAAAAUAACAGAAAGGAUCUUAAACUUCACGGUGACUUGUCCCAUAAUGAAGUUCCUCACCGGCUUUGAACUAUUGUUAGAGAAAGCUCUGGAGUGGUAGAGUAAUGCUGCCCGACAAGUUUCCAUGGUGUGACACAACUGGCAGACGUAUCACUUCUGAUCAUGCAGUGGAGGAAACUAGAACUCAGCUACACUGUUGUCUUUCCUAUGGAAUCUUCAUCAGUUCUAUUACCAGUUUACUGACGUUGUACAAAAGGAACUUGAUAAACUGAUGUCUCCUAUACUGAAGGAACUCAAGGCAAUAUUAGAGGUACCCGUCUGAGGUAUACUAAAGGAAGGUGGUUCCGAGGUGGACAGUGUCGGUCAGCCAUCGUUGUGGCUGUCUGAGCUGUCAGAAGCUGUCUCAAGUAUCAACUUCACAUCAGUCAUAAUUCAGAAGAAGAAUACAGAAUUACCCAGUGUCCUGUCUGAAGAGUUGUUUCCCUUACAAGGUCGUUAACUGGCAUUGUGUCAUAGAGCCGGCCGGAAUAUCUCACAAAAUACAUGGCUGCCACAGGGUACACAUAUCACAUCAAGGUGAUGGACGAGGCCACAGUAACAUUAUACUGAGCAUCAUGGGCACAUUUAACUUGUAGCCAACAGUUCCAUUUUGUUUUCGUCCAGGUGACAUCAUCAAAACAAUACAUGAGCUCCAGUCCCUUGAAGUUGAUCAGUCAGCAGAUAAAGACAAGCAGAAGUCAGAAGCCAAACACAUCCAUUAGAAGAAGAGGAAAGCCUUGACAGAUCUGUUUAAACAUCUGGAAUACAUAGGUUAGGCGAGGCAAUGUCCACCUUGGGAGACGGCUUUGGUCAGUACUACAACAGACGUAUAGCCAGGAAUUUUGGGUUUAUGGCCACAAUACAGACACCUUCAAAUGAGCUGGGUGGAGUUACAUUGACCGAUGUAAAGGGUUCACAGAACACAUGUUUGACCUCCUGAUCCGUCAGUACCGAAGUCUGUACAGUAUCAGUGAUAGUUUCUGCCAUCUCAGACUAGAGGACGAUGUGAGUCGACCUCAGCCUCCGGUCCAGCAGCUGACUGACUGGACGGUAACUGUACCACACUGCCGAUGGAAGAUACUGUGAAACAAGUGUGUGAUACGGAAUAGAGAGACCACUGAAACAUUGUGAUGAGAUUGUACAUAAUUUCAUCUUCAGCCUCUAUUCACCAGUAUCAGAGCGGCAGAUGUAUUUAGUAAUGUUCAUCUGGCUGUCCCUCCAUCCUUCUGUCUAUCUGUCUGUCCCUCCAUCUUUCUGUCUAUCUGUCUGUCCCUCCACCUUUCUGUCUAUCUGUCUGUCCCUCCACCUUUCUGUCUAUCUGUCUGUCCCUCCACCUUUCUGUCUAUCUGUCUGUCCCUCCAUGUUUCUGUCUGUCUGUCCCUCCACUUGUUUAUCUGUCUGUCCCUCGGCUUUUCUGUCAAUCUGUCUGUCCCUCCACCUUUCUGUCUAUCUGUCUGUUCCUCCACCUUUCUGUCUAUCUGUCUGUCCCUCUACCUUUCUAUCUAUUUUUCAGUCCCUCUGUCUGUCCAUCUGCCUGUCCAUCUAUCAGUCUAUCCACUUUUCUGCCCAUUCAUAAAUGCAUGUCCAGAGGUAAUAUUAGACUCUACUGUCUAAAAUUGUUGAAAUUCCAUGUGAUAUAUAAUAAACACAUAAUUAUAUUGAUACUAAAAUAUGUCCUGUAUAUUUUAACAUAGCCCUGAAGAUCCAGUUCACUGUUUCUGAAGAUAGAACAAGGAUAUACUGGUUUUGAAUCGGGCCUUUUUGUCUCAGUUUGGGGAGAAAAUUGGUUAAUUGUCUGAGAAAGAUUUUUUCAGGAGUAAACUGCAAAUUCUGGGAAUUUGGUUUUAAUAUGAAAUAAUUCCAAUUGGGAAUGGGGCCUAUCAACAGCCUCAUUUGUAAAAUAUUUUUAGUUUCCUAAUUUAUAUGAGAGUUCAUUUAUGUUUUAUCUAUGUCCACUAACUGGUAGUACAAUGUCUUUCACUGACUGAGAUGAAUUAAAACUGCUGGUUGUAACUGUAUUAUGAUUUCCUCCACAGUUGCGGAUCAAGGCUAUGCUAGUCACUGUACUGGAAGGAAUGGCACAGUUGGAAGCUCUCCUGAACUGCUGCCCCUCGGCAGGAAAUGGACUGUCCCAUCACCCCUCACCCUUCCCCUCCUCCAAACUUUCCGACAUGUCACUGGUUUGUCUUGGCGACCAAAUCUGGAGUGAGACAUCUAAUAAGGUCAAGACCACCUGAUGUACAACCUUGAGAGAUUAGUGCCUGAUCUGGAUUCAGUAGAAGCAGGUUUCCGUACUCCAGGCAGUUCCAACCUGUCCAUCUUCACUGACACCCUGGCCUUCCUCCGACAUCACAUCACAAACACCGUCUCGGAGUUCCAGGAAUUGGUGGGAACAGGCCCUCGGUCAAACCACUGGGUCUUAGGUUACCACGGAAACACACACGUCCAAGGACUUUGGUACCAAGUUUGAAAGCCUGAUUUCUAGUCUACUCUUAGUAAUUCAGAAUCUCUCCAAGUUAUGUGUACCGGAGGAUAACAAUACACAGGAAGACAAAGAUGAAGAAUCACAGGAAGGACAUUUUGUCAAGUUACUUUGUGACAGAGUGGAGCAGGAACCAGUCAUUAUCAGCUGUGUCAAGAUCAGAGAGGAGCUCCAGGCCAUACUGAAUAAUCUGACUGAAC